GAGUAACGGCGGCGACAGCAACACAGCCACAAAAGAGAACGAGUGAGGGAGGGAGAGCUAGACGACGACCUACUACACAAAAAAAGUUGUAUUUUGUGGUAUCUAUAGUUAAUACAUCUUGUACGCCUAGUCUAGUUUUAAGUGAAAAUCGUACGAAAAAAAACCAAAAAUUGCCAAAGCAAAUAAUGUAACUUGCUCUCUCUCUCUCUCUCCCUCGCACAGUUCCUCUAGCUCUCGCUCUCAUUUCAUAACUCGUUUUGCAUAAAUUUCAUAUAUUUUAUUAAUUUGUAUAUUUCUUUGUUCAACCCAACUAAGAAUCAAACGCCUUUCCUAAUUCUCGUCCAAAAAGUCCAAUCAAUUCAAAAUCAUUACGAAUUUCGAUUUGCAGCUUUGUAGCUCACUUUCAUUGAAACCGCAAAGAAAAAAUUGAGAGAGGGAGAGUGUGAACAUUUAACAGUAACGAGGGCUGUUAUUAACAUUUCAGCGGUGCAUAAAAGAAACCAAUAAACAUUAACCAAAAAAAAAGAGAGUUGCUAAAAACCAAACAAAAA